rnacentral:rRNA from 1 species
GGACCCGCACAAGUAGCGGAGCAUGUGGUUUAAUUCGAAGCAACGCGAAGAACCUUACCUAAGCUUGACAUCCUUUUGACCUCUCCCUAAUCGGAGAUUUCCCUUCGGGGACAGAAGUGACAGGUGGUGCAUGGUUGUCGUCAGCUCGUGUCGUGAGAUGUUGGGUUAAGUCCCGCAACGAGCGCAACCCUUGUCUUUAGUUGCCAGCAUUAAGUUGGGCACUCUAGAGAGACUGCCAGGGAUAACCUGGAGGAAGGUGGGGAUGACGUCAAAUCAUCAUGCCCCUUAUGCUUAGGGCUACACACGUGCUACAAUGGGUGGUACAGAGGGCAGCCAAGUCGUGAGGCGGAGCUAAUCCCUUAAAGCCAUUCUCAGUUCGGAUUGUAGGCUGAAACUCGCCUACAUGAAGCUGGAGUUUACUAGUAAUCGCAGAUCAGAAUGCUG